CAGUCGCCGCGGUAAGACAGAGGAUGCAAGCGUUAUCCGGAAUUAUUGGGCGUAAAGGGCUCGCAGGCGGUUUCUUAAGUCUGAUGUGAAAGCCCCCGGCUCAACCGGGGAGGGUCAUUGGAAACUGGGAAACUUGAGUGCAGAAGAGGAGAGUGGAAUUCCACGUGUAGCGGUGAAAUGCGUAGAUAUCGGAAGGAACACCUGUGGCGAAAGCGGCUCACUGGACCAUUACUGACGCUGAUGCACGAAAGCUAGGGGAGCAAACAGGAUUAGAUACCCGUGUAGUCCCUGUCUCUUAUAC
rnacentral:rRNA from 1 species